rnacentral:rRNA from 1 species
AACGAACGCUGGCGGCAUGCCUAACACAUGCAAGUCGAACGAGACCUUCGGGUCUUUUUGCGCACGGGUGCUUAACGCGUGGGAACUUGCCCUUAGGUUCCGUAUAAUUCCCCUUAAGGGGUCUUAAUACCGGUGAAUGUCUUCCGGCCAAAGAUGUAUUGCUUUUGGGUGGGGCCGGGUUGGUUUAGCUGGUUGGUAGGGUAAAAGCCUACCAAGGCGACGUUGCAUAGCUGGUCUGUGAGGAUGGUUUUCCACACUGGGAAUGAGACACGGCCCAGAAUCGUACGGGAGGCAGCAGUGGGGAAUAUUGGACGAUGGGCGAAAGCCUGAUCCAGCAGUGCCGCGUGAGUGAUGAAGGCCUUAGGGUUGUAAAGCUCUUUUACCCGGGAUGAUAAUGACAGUACCGGGAGAAUAAGCUCCGGCUAACUACGUG